AGCAGCCGCGGUAAUUCCAGCUCCAAUAGCGUAUAUUAAAGUUGUUGCAGUUAAAAAGCUCGUAGUUGAAUUUCGGGACCAAUCUGCCGGUCGUGCCUCCGGUACGCACUGGUUUUAUUGGUCUCUCCCUUCUGACGAACCAUGAUGUCAUUAAUUUGGUGUCAUGGGGAAUCAGGACUGUUACUUUGAAAAAAUUAGAGUGUUUAUAGCAGGCUCACGCUUGAAUACAUUAGCAUGGAAUAAUGAAAUAGGACGUUUGACCCUAUUUUGUUGGUUUCUAGGAUCGACGUAAUGAUUAAUAGGGAUAGUUGGGGGCAUUAGUAUUCAAUUGUCAGAGGUGAAAUUCUUGGAUUUAUUGAAGACUAACUACUGCGAAAGCAUUUGCCAAGGAUGUUUUCAUUAAUCAAGAACGAAAGUUAGGGGAUCGAAGACGAUCAGAUACCGUCGUAGUCUUAACCAUAAACUAUGCCGACUAGGGAUCGGAUGAUGUUAAUUUUUUUCAAUGACCCAUUCGGCGCCU
rnacentral:rRNA from 1 species